rnacentral:ncRNA from 12 species
CUCUAAUACAUAGUUUCGAGAUUGCACUUUUAACAAAGGUGCACAGUGAAGUAUUAGUAUUAAAGAAACCUAUUCCUUCCUAAUUUAGGUAAAUAUGGAUCAUUAGAUAUGUUGCUGGUAGUUAAAGAUAAUGAAUGUUAAUGUAUCUAA